AUGAACGUUGGCGGCGUGCCUAAGGCAUGCAAGUCGUGGGACAGGCUUUUUUAUAGCAAUAUAGACAAGCGCUGACCGGCAAACGGGUGAGUAACACAUUGGUAACCUACCGUGAAGACGGGGAUAGCCCACCGAAAGGUGGAUUAAUACCCGAUGGUCUCCGGCUCUCGCAAGAGGUGCCAGAGUAAACCUACGGGGCUUCAUGAUGGGCCUAUGUCUGAUUAGCUAGUUGGUAGGGUAAUGGCCUACCAAGGCUACGAUCAGUAGCAGGCGUGAGAGCGUGACCUGCCUCACUGGGACUGAGACACUGCCCAGACACCUACGGGUGGCUGCAGUCAGGAAUAUUCCGCAAUGCGCGAAAGCGUGACGGAGCGACGCCGCGUGCAGGAAGACGCCCUUCGGGGUGUAAACUGCUUUUAUAGGGGAAGAAUUUGUGACGGUACCCUAUGAAUAAGAGGUUGCUAACUCUGU
rnacentral:rRNA from 1 species